GUAGGUGAACCUGCGGAAGGAUCAUUAUUGAAUUAUGUUUUCUAGAUGGGUUGUAGCUGGCUCCUAGGAGCAUGUGCACGCCUGUCUGGACUUCAUUUUCAUCCACCUGUGCACCUUUUGUAGUCUUUGUUGGGUAUGGAGGAAGUGGUCAGCCUUAUCAGCUCUUGCUGGAUAUGAGGACUUGCAGUGUGAAAGCAGUGCUGUCCGCUACUUGGCCAUGGAAUCUGUUUCCCGUCAGAGUCUAUGUUAU
rnacentral:misc_RNA from 1 species